rnacentral:rRNA from 1 species
CAGCAGCCGCGGUAAUACGUAGGAGGCAAGCGUUAUCCGGAUUUAUUGGGCGUAAAGCGCGUGCAGGCGGUUUAACAAGUUGGAUGUGAAAGCUCCUGGCUUAACUGGGAGAGGUCGUUCAAUACUGUUAGACUAGAGAAUGGGAGAGGGAGGUGGAAUUCCGGGUGUAGUGGUGAAAUGCGUAGAUAUCCGGAGGAACACCAGUGGCGAAAGCGGCCUCCUAGACCAUUUCUGACGCUAAGACGCGAAAGCUAGGGUAGCAAACGGGAUUAGAGACCCCGGUAGUCCUAGCUGUAAACGAUGUAACUUGGCGUUGGCGGAGUUAAAUCUGCCAGUGCCGUAGCUAACGCGAUAAGUCUACCGCCUGGGGACUACGAUCGCAAGAUUAAAACUCAAAGGAAUUGACGGGGACCCGCACAAGCAGCCGAACCUGUGGUUUAAUUCGAUGCUACACGAAGAACCUUACCAGGGUUUGACAUGUAAGUGGUAUUGAUCCGAAAAGGUGAACACCCUUCGGGGAGCUACAC